ensembl:lncRNA
AAACGAUCUGAUGCAGGGAAUGCUGGAUUGCUUGUGGAGAACCUUGUAGUUCUGCUGUGCAUUCUCCUUACAUACAUUCUUUUGCCAAGUAUGAAGAAUAUCGCAUUUGGAUUGAGAUAAAGACCUUAUGCUUCAGGAGAUAUGAAAAACAUCUAUCUGGAAUGAAGAGAUGGCAACAAGGUCACCAAAUGGAUGCAGCCAGAUGCAAAGGGCAGAAGCCCUACCACCGAGCACAGAAGUUUCUGAUAUGGUGAGGCACUCAGUCAAUAUGCUAAGGCUGAUCUUUAAGCAGUAGUUGGUUGAGCUGUGUAAUACAUACAUCUGGAAACUGCCUGCAUAUCACAGCGAAUAUGAGCAGAGCAGGCUGCUCCUAUAUUUGUGUCCCAUGUGUUUGCUUUGAUUUGAUUUUGUGUUUGGGUGGGAAAGGGAAAGAGGAAAUACUCCGACAUUUUCACAUGCCUUUACUUUUUAUUGACUCUGAGAAACAAUUCAAACAUCUUGUCUGUUCAAAUGAGAGGCUGUCAAAUGUCCCCAUGUCUUGCCUACCCACAGUCUUGGGUAUUCUCACAGAAAGUACCACAUAAUUCCCUCUACUCAACACUGGUGAGGCCACACCUUAAACACUGUGUUCAGUUUUGGGCUCCUCAAUGAAAAAAAGACGUUGAGGCUCUGGAGCAUGUUUAGAGAAGGGCAACUCCUGGUAAGGGAGUGAAGUGGCCUUAUGAGGAGUGGCUGAAGGAGCUGGGAUUGUUUAGUCUGGAGAAGAGAAGGCUCAGGGGAGACCUUAUCACUCUCUACAACUACCUCAGGGGAGGUUGUGGUGAGAUGGGAGUUGGCCUCUUCUCCCACGUAACUAGCAAUAGAACAAGAGAUAAUGACCUCAAGUUGCACCGGAGGAAAUUUAGGUUGGAUGUUAGGAAAAAUUUCUUCUCUGAAAGAGUGUUUAGGUGCUGGAACUGCUGCCCAGGGAGGUGGUGGAGUCACUGUCCCUGGAAGAAGAAAUGUUUAGAUGUUGCAGUAAGAGACAUGGCUUAGUGAGGAAAUAUUGGUGGUAGGUGAAUGGUGGGACUGAAGAUCUUGGAGGUCUUUUCCAGCCUUGGUGAUUCUAUGAUUCUGUGAGUCUAUAAUGACAUUCCCAUCUCUGAAAAAAACUACCGCAGUUAUCAUAGAAUCACACAAUCAUAGAAUGGCUUGGGUUGAAAAGGACCUCAAAGAUAAUUUUGUUCUAGCCUCCUGCUGCUGGCUGGGCUGCCAACCCUCCCAGCAUCCUUGGAAGCUGGUUGAUACCAAAAGCAAAGGAAGAAAUUACAGAUCCAGGUCUUCUUUUUUGCCAUGUCUUUGAAAACUGGUAGAUGGCAAGAAGCCAUCUUCUCUGCACAAAAUACUCAGCUUCUCAUUCUGCCUACUGCUCCGUGCUGGUGAAACAAGCAAGAGUCAGACAACCUCCUGCUGUACCUCUCCAGUCUGGCCCUUGCAUUUCUGUCCUGAUUUGAAUCCAAAAUAGUUUAGGUCCUCCAAAAAAAACCUGUCACUUCUGCAAAAGAUUUUAUGUCCUGGAUAAAGAUAAAUGUCAGUAUCUUCUAAAACCACAGAUUUAAAAGCUCACAGAUCCUAAAGCUCUUAGAGUCUAUGGAAACAAAAGGAUUAAAAUCAAAACGCUGGUAGUGAUUAAUUCCACCCAGAUUAACAAAAUGACAGCUUCUGUUAAUUGUCCUUGGGACUGGGAGGAAAUGAAUCAGCGCUGCCCUGCUGGAAGUGGCUCAGGACAGUGGCUGCUCUGGGCCUCAGGUUCUGGAGGAUGAGGCUGGGGCUGAGGAGCUGCUGAUUUCUCUGCUGGCAGGUGAAAGGAGCGGCAGCAAUGACCAGUGAAAAGCUGGGGGAGGAAGGGUUUCGAAGCCCAUGGCAAGGGUUGGUGCUUGAGAGUCUCUGUGAUGUCAGCAGGGCCAUCCAGGAGCCUGGGGAGGUCAGCAAUAAACCAGAGCCCGAGUAGUUACUCCCCCUGCACCAGGGCAGCGAGGCAGGCAGAGGGCAGCCACUUCCAGGGAAACACCGGGGCUCUGCCUCCUGCAGAGGUCAGGCCCUGAUGUGUUGGUCUUCAGGAGUUCUGCAGCAUACCCAGAGCCAUGGGCUGCCCCAGACUCAGGCCCACUUAGAUUAUUCCAAAAAGUUCCCAAAGUUUUUAUGUGAAUAGCGCUUUUGGAGAAAAUCAAAGGUGAUAAUGGUAAAAUCCACAAAUUCUAAACCAGCAAUACCAAGCUGUUCAGUGACCUUCAUGGUUGCAUUAUUGCACACUGUGCUCAUACACAUUGCACUGUGGCCUGAACAUCUUGUUUCCCAUAAUAAUUCAAUGCAGUGAACCAUAGACAAAGAGAAAGGAUCUUUUCCUCCCCAGCCCUUGGCAGAAUUGCUGCUCACACAUGCUGCAGGGCUAAUGAAGCUGUUCCUUCACUUCUGAGCAGGUUCUCAUUUGAUGUCAGUUCGUAAAGCUCCACAAAUGAAGUCUGCUCAUACCUGGAGCCCAUUCCCCUGCACUGAAGUAUUAGGUUACAGUUUAUUAGGCAGAAUGGAUAUUAUGUGCAUUGUUUUUCAUUUUAUAUGGUUUUUCAUUUUAGAUUUAUCCAGAGAAGCUGUGGAUGCCCCAUCCCUGGAGGUGCUCAAGGCCAGGUUCAUGGGGCCCUGGGCAGCCUGAGCUGUUGGGGGGGGCAGCCCUGCUCAUGGUAGGGGGAUGGAAUUGAAUGGGCUUUGAAGUCUCUUCCAACCCAAAUCAUUCUGUAAGAAAUAAAAAAAAAAGAAAAAAGUAAGAAUCCCAAGAGUGUUCACAAGCCAUGUAGAGCUUGGAUUGAACUGCAAGGGUGAGGCAAAGCACUGGGAUUCAGUGGCAGGAACGUGGUCUGAGAGGAAGCAGCCCUGGGUUGCCCCCUGGGUGCUGCAGGACUGAAGCCAGGGCUCUUCCCAUGCUUUCUCCUUCCUCUAGGUGUGAGGCCUUCCAAUUCCGCCUGGGAGCAGGGCCACAGUGAGCUGCAUUUACACCCACCAAUUGCAGCAGCAACCUGGCUGUGAGUGAGGGGCAUUUCCAAUGUCACGUAAAUCAUCAGAUGAAAGAGGGGAUUUAAAAACAAUUUAUUUUGUGGCUGGCACUUCAGAAUACUUUACAAGUCAUAUCAAGAGGAUUUUUAAAAAUCUUUCUUUAUGAGUUGCUUUCUUUUCCAGAAUAGUAUCCUUGGAAAUGACCCGCCGGUUAAAAACAAAGCAAUAAUAAAUCCCUGUGAAAAACAGCAGUCUGAGCUUCCAUGAAUGUCAUUACCUACAAAAGCCAUCAGAGCCUGUGCUGUAUCGGGGUGGCACUGCGGAGAAGACAGAAUGGUUGGAAAGGAGGGCUGGCAACAAUGAAGUUACACAGAGAUGCCAUCAGAUGCUGUCCAAGCUGCCAGGUAAGUAUGUUUGUCUGUGUACCAGGCUGGAACAAAUAGCCUACAGUGUGGAUUCAGGGUUUCCCCACUUUGCAAAGAUCACACCAUCGAGGAGUAGCGAGGCACAGCCACACUGUAAAAGCAAAGUCAGUGGGAAGAAAAACCUCAGAGCCCACUGUAAAGAAUCAUCGAAUAGCUUGGGUUGGAAAGGACCUCAAAGAUAAUCCAGUCCCACCCCCACCUGUGGGCAGGGCUGUGCCCUCUGCCCCCAACCCCCCCCCCCCUCCAGCUCCAGCUCAGGAUGCCCAGGGCCCCAUCCAACCUGGCUUUAUCUACCUCCAGGGAUGGGGCACCACAGCUUCUCUGGGCAGUAGCGACAGUGCCUCAGCUCAGUGGUUAUAGCUCAGACACAUUUACCCCGUGUAGGAUUGGGGGAGGGCACUAUUUACACACAGCUACUCACACCCUGGCUGUGCAGGGAGGUGCCAGACAGCUCCUGGGAGCUUACAUAGACCAAGUGCACUGUGGGGCUUGCUGCCAUGUUGCUCUCAUCAAAGCAAACACGUAAUACUUACAAGUAUCUGUGAGAGGUGACCGAGAAGAGCUUUUGGUAUGUCCUCAGGGGAGAAUAAGCCAUGGGGAACUCACACUGGCUUUUCUAAACAUUUGCUGGAUAAGCUCUGAGGUAUAUUAUUCACAGGCUGGUAGUGGGAGCUCAGUCUCUUGGCACUGCAGGCUGUGGGAGCUGGGCAGCCGCUGGGAGGAGCGAGGAAGCAGCUGAGCCGUGCAAACUUCUGCCUGUGCCCUGCUUACCGACCUUCUCCCUUGUACAGCUGUGGGAUGGUGCCAGGGGGAGCGGGAGGGCUGCUGCAGGUUCUGAGGGCACCUUCUAUGUUGGGCUCCUACUUCUGCACAGGGUCCUGCUGUGUUACUGAAUUCUCCUGGAGCUGUUCUGACCUAAGCUAACUGCUUUUCUAUUGACAUCAACUUUUGCCACUUCAGUCUUCACCCUGACAUUAUUAAUACAGGAUUAAACAGUGUUGGUCUGCGUCCUGAUCUAUGGAGCACCUCAUUAUUAAUCUCUUUCCCUACCAGAAUUGGCUAUUUACUCCAUCCCCAGAUUUUAAUUCUGUGGUUACCAAGUUUCCUUAACAGUUUCUUGUAUGGGUGUUUAUCAGAAGGUUUUUGAAUGUUCAAAUAAAUUAUAUCCUCUGGUUGGCCUUUCCCCACUAUUUUAUUAACGCUUAGAAGUGUAAAGGUCCAACCAGCAGGAUUUAGUCUUAAGGUGGCUGUGUUACUUCUUGCCUUUGCUUGAGGCUUGGUAUUUCCCUGCAGUUUGUAAAACAUUCAGAGCAGCAGCUCUCUGAAUCUUGUGGCUUGAAGGAGCACCAAAUAUGUUGUCGAUGCUUAAUUAAAAAUAAGAGUGAACGUAACAUAUCUGUGACAUUCUCAACUCCUUCCUUGCAGUGAAGUUAAGCCAAUAAUGUACCAUUUCCAUGAGCUCGCUCUGUCUGUGUAAAUAUUUACAG